rnacentral:ncRNA from 1 species
AGGAAAGCGAUGAGAGGACUCAGUAGUUAAACUAUCCCUGUUUUAGAGAGCCGGUGGAAGGUGCGAAUCGGUACACAUAGUUUUGAUGAAUUACUUCCUUGAGCAUUUGCUGUGAACGCUAAGUAGCAGUAAACGGUAGACAGCCGUUAACGGUCUUAAGACGGAGGAUGAAGUAUGUCCUCAAGUUGGGUGGUACCGCGAAUAUAUUCGUCCCUUCA